GAUGAACGCUAGCUACAGGCUUAACACAUGCAAGUCGAGGGGCAGCAUGUCGGUUGCUUGCAACCGAUGAUGGCGACCGGCGCACGGGUGAGUAACGCGUAUCCAACCUACCCUUGUCCAUCGGAUAACCCGCCGAAAGGCGGCCUAACACGAUAUGCGGUUCACAGCAGGCAUCUAACGUGAACGAAAUGUGAAGGAGAAGGAUGGGGACGCGUCUGAUUAGCUUGUUGGCGGGGUAACGGCCCACCAAGGCUACGAUCAGUAGGGGUUCUGAGAGGAAGGUCCCCCACAUUGGAACUGAGACACGGUCCAAACUCCUACGGGAGGCAGCAGUGAGGAAUAUUGGUCAAUGGACGAGAGUCUGAACCAGCCAAGUAGCGUGCAGGAUGACGGCCCUAUGGGUUGUAAACUGCUUUUAUAGGGGGAUAAAGUGUGCCACGUGUGGCAUAUUGCAGGUACCCUAUGAAUAAGGACCGGCUAAUUCCGUGCCAGCCGCCGCCGUAAGAC
rnacentral:rRNA from 1 species